AGGUUUUAGUAUCUAUGUUCCACUUAAGCCAGGUGCCUGGUUAAGCAGUUCUCCAACAGCUUAACCUUCGAAAAAACCGCCUUCCCAGGCGGUUUUUUUGU
rnacentral:antisense_RNA from 1 species